GAGGGGUGCCCCGGUCCUUGGUCCCCAGCUUCUGGCCGCUUCGGGCCUCCAGUCCAGCUGAUUCGUGAGAUAACUUCCACAGAUACGGUAUCCAUUUUGCAGAUGAGGCACACAAUUUCAGGUGGGCCUGGGGCCAGAAGCAGCAGCAACUGUAGCUGCCCC